AGGGCUCACUUGUUAUCUUCUCCCACAUAAAUUAACCACCAACCCCACCGCCCCCCUUUCUUCUCCGGUGAAAUAGCCCCCGUUCUCGCCGCACCCACGUACCAACCCCUCCCCUCCCUAUCAUCUCCUACAGCAAACUCCGACCUACUCCGCCGUCUAUCAUCUCCUUCAGCAAACUCCGACGACCUACUCCGCCGUUCUCCUCCCCUCGCCAGUGCUCAUCUUCCUCUUCUUUGAAAAUACGCAGAGAGCUUGUUGAAUUGUAGGUGUUUGUAGUGUGGUAGCAAAGAUGAAUGGAUUUGAUAUGUUGAAAUCUUUAAUUCUGGGACUUAAAAGUUAGGGGUGCCAGAGCUUGGAAAGUGUUCGGUGAGUAUCGUGCAGAUUAAUACAUAUAUCAGAUUUUAAAGAUAUAAGUUUGUACAAUCUCACUGGUAGUUUGAAAACAACUGUUAUACAAUUUUGAUUUAUUUUUUAGAUGAUCCAGAGAUUGCAUUUGAUUCUAGAAAUUUCAUUCGUAUUUAAUUUCUUUCUGAUGUGAACUGUGACCAUGUUGUUUAGUAAGUCAUGAAGAAUCUUGCUUUUCCUUUGUGAAAUUGAUUGAUU
rnacentral:lncRNA from 1 species